rnacentral:rRNA from 1 species
AUUGAACGCUGGCGGCAGGCCUAACACAUGCAAGUCGAGCGGAUGAAGGGAGCUUGCUCCUGGAUUCAGCGGCGGACGGGUGAGUAAUGCCCAGGAAUCUGCCUGGUAGUGGGGGAUAACGUCCGGAAACGGGCGCUAAUACCGCAUACGUCCUGAGGGAGAAAGGGGGGGAUCUUCGGACCUCACGCUAUCAGAUGAGCCUAGGUCGGAUUAGCUAGUUGGUGGGGUAAAGGCCUACCAAGGCGACGAUCCGUAACUGGUCUGAGAGGAUGAUCAGUCACACUGGAACUGAGACACGGUCCAGACUCCUACGGGAGGCAGCAGUGGGGAAUAUUGGCCAAUGGGCGAAAGCCUGAUCCAGCCAUGCCGCGUGUGUGAAGAAAGUCUUCGGAUUGUAAAGCACUUUAAGUUGGGGGGAAGGGCAGUAAGUUAAUACCUUGCUGUUUUGACGUUACCAACAGAAUAAGCACCGGCUAACUUCGUG